UUAAUUUUUUUAAUGUUUCUCAGACAAUAGGUAAGAGUUUUGUAUCCUUCGGCAGGAACUCGCCCGCAGAGCCGACGGUCCAGAAGGAACGUCCUGCCGAAGCAACAGGUCAAUACACAAAGGGUGGGAGGCGGACCGUGAGGCCCAACACUCGAUAAUGAUCCUUCCGCAGGUUCACCUACGGAAA
rnacentral:misc_RNA from 1 species